AGCGAACGCUGGCGGCAGGCUUAACACAUGCAAGUCGAACGCCCCGCAAGGGGAGUGGCAGACGGGUGAGGAACGCGUGGGAAUAUGCCCUUUGGUUCGGAAUAACUCAGGGAAACUUGAGCUAAUACCGAAUAAGCGCGAAAGCGGAAAGAUUUAUCGCCGAAGGAGUAGCCCGCGUCUGAUUAGCUAGUUGGUGAGGUAACGGCUCACCAAGGCGACGAUCAGUAGCUGGUCUGAGAGGAUGAUCAGCCACACUGGGACUGAGACACGGCCCAGACUCCUACGGGAGGCAGCAGUGGGGAAUAUUGGACAAUGGGCGCAAGCCUGAUCCAGCCAUGCCGCGUGAGUGAUGAAGGCCUUCGGGUUGUAAAGCUCUUUUGGCGGGGACGAUGAUGACGGUACCCGCAGAAUAAGCCCCGGCUAACUUCGUGCCAGCAGCCGCGGUAAUAC
rnacentral:rRNA from 1 species